rnacentral:rRNA from 1 species
UGGGGAAUAUUGGACAAUGGGCGCAAGCCUGAUCCAGCCAUGCCGCGUGGGUGAAGAAGGCCUUCGGGUUGUAAAGCCCUUUUGUUGGGAAAGAAAAGCAGUCGGUUAAUACCCGAUUGUUCUGACGGUACCCAAAGAAUAAGCACCGGCUAACUUCGUGCCAGCAGCCGCGGUAAUACGAAGGGUGCAAGCGUUACUCGGAAUUACUGGGCGUAAAGCGUGCGUAGGUGGUUUGUUAAGUCUGAUGUGAAAGCCCUGGGCUCAACCUGGGAAUUGCAUUGGAUACUGGCAGGCUGGAGUGCGGUAGAGGGUAGUGGAAUUCCCGGUGUAGCAGUGAAAUGCGUAGAGAUCGGGAGGAACAUCCGUGGCGAAGGCGACUACCUGGACCAGCACUGACACUGAGGCACGAAAGCGUGGGGAGCAAACAGGAUUAGAUACCCUGGUAGUCCACGCCCUAAACGAUGCGAACUGGAUGUUGGGUUCAAUUAGGAACUCAGUAUCGAAGCUAACGCGUUAAGUUCGCCGCCUGGGGAGUACGGUCGCAAGACUGAAACUCAAAUGAAUUGACGGGGUCAUAGC